UUGACAGCCCAGAAGAUUGAAAUAGUCAAUUUAUUCUCAGAACAAGUACCAUGCAGUUGAAGUAAUAAUCCUUCCAUAUUACCUCAACCCUGACCAGGAAUGACCGGACAGAGGUUGUGGUUUCAUUUCUAUUGAGUCCUUGGCCUUU
ensembl:misc_RNA